rnacentral:rRNA from 1 species
GAUUAAAAAAAAAAGCACGCCCGAUCUCGUCCGAUCUCGGAAGCCAAGCAGGGUCGGCCUGGUUAGUACUUGGACGGGAGACCGCCUGGGAAUACCAGGUGCUGUAAGCU